rnacentral:rRNA from 1 species
AUUAAACGCUGGCGGCAUGCCUUACACAUGCAAGUCGAACGGCAGCACGGGGGCAACCCUGGUGGCGAGUGGCGAACGGGUGAGUAAAGCAUCGGAACGUGCCCUGGAGUGGGGGAUAACGUAGCGAAAGUUACGCUAAUACCGCAUAUUCUGUGAGCAGGAAAGCAGGGGAUCGCAAGACCUUGCGCUCUGGGAGCGGCCGAUGUCGGAUUAGCUAGUUGGUGGGGUAAAGGCCUACCAAGGCGACGAUCCGUAGCGGGUCUGAGAGGAUGAUCCGCCACACUGGGACUGAGACACGGCCCAGACUCCUACGGGAGGCAGCAGUGGGGAAUUUUGGACAAUGGGCGCAAGCCUGAUCCAGCCAUGCCGCGUGAGUGAAGAAGGCCUCGGUUGUAAGACUCUUUCGGUCCGGG